rnacentral:rRNA from 1 species
UGACUGGGGUGAAGUCGUAACAAGGUAACCGUAGGGGAACCUGCGGUUGGAUCACCUCCUUACCUGAAGAUACC